GGCACAUAUUAAGAAUUAAUUAAUUUUUUUUAAUUUUUCAUAUAUAUAUAUAAAAAAUUAAAAGAAAUUAAUUAAUUCUUAAUAUAACAUCUAUCCCUUCCACCACAAAAAUGACGAUGAUUCAAGAUUAUGAUCAUCAUCAUUUUGAUAUGAAACCAGUUCAUCAUGAUGAUGACCAAUCUACACAACAUCAAGUCCUUAUCAAUCAUCGUAUAUCAACUCAUAGUCACCAGUACGACUAAGUCGUUCGUAUAUUGCACGAAGAAGAAGACGGUUUAAGUUGUAUGUGUCAAGCUGGUUGUUGGGUUGACUUGAAAUCCUUUAGUACAGAGUCCAGAGGACCACAAGGCUGGAAAUGAGGUUUUCCUUAAAAGCAUUCUAAAUCUAACGGAGACUGUAGCAAAAGGAUGGGUGAAGAGCUUGGACCCAAAUGACAUAGUUGGUGGUAUAGAGUUGCAAUAAAAUAAGAUGAAAUGCUAGUAAGACCUUAUGGAUUAUUCUCUACGAUUCAAGUUUCUAUUGGUGCAACUAUCGCAUGGCCUUGCCCGUUCAUCUGAGUAGUUCGUGAGGAUUGAGGAUGCACGAUGACUUGCGGUUCUUGAGGAUUGAAGAGGCAUUAUGGAUGCUUGUUAUUUUUUUCAUUGCUUUUAGUUUCUUUUAUUAUGUUACAAAACUUUAUGUUGGAUAAUGUUAUAACUCAAUGUUUAGUGUUUUUGUUAUGAACAUGCACGUUUAUUUGAAAUAUAAUAAAAUUUUGUUUCUAUCAUUAGUUGAUUUUUUAUA